rnacentral:rRNA from 1 species
CUUUACUGUAGGCUGAUAUUGGGCUGAGGUAUGUUUUGUGUAGGAUAGGUGGGAGGCUGCGAGGCGGUGGCGCCAGCCAUCGCGGAGCCAACGUUGAAAUACCACCCUGAAUAUGCUUUAGUUCUAACCUCGUCCCGUGAAUCCGGGCGAGAGACAGUUUCAGUUGGGCAGUUUGACUGGGGCGGUCUCCUCCAAAAGAGUAACGGAGGAGUGCAAAGGUACACUCAGCCUGGUUGGCAAUCAGGCGUCGAGCGUAAGGGUAGAAGUGUGCUUAACUGCGAGACCUAUCAGUCGAGCAGAUGCGAAAGCAGGUCCUAGUGAUCCGGUGAUUCCGUAUGGAAGGGUCAUCGCUCAUCAGAUAAAAGGUA